UCUACACACGUCUAUAAAUGUAUAGGUCACCUGUCCAAUAUAAUCUGUAUACACAUGUCUAUAAAUGUAUAGGUCACCUGUCCAAUAUAAUCUGUAUACAUAUGUCUAUAAAUGUAUAGGUCAUCUAUCCAAUAUAAUCUGUAUACACAUGUCUAUAAGUAUUGUGCGUAUAUAUUAUAACAUGUACUUUGAUAAACAAUGAACUGAACUGAACUAAACUUAUUACGGAUAUAUAGUUAAUAUACGGAUCAUUAAAAUUUUAUUUAUAUCUUUUGUUUAAUAUAAUACAUUCGAAGACCUUGGUCUGAAAAUCAAUUAUUUAUUCAAUGCAUGCCUCCCCGGCUUGUUUAAAGUCUCUGUAUUGAUUAUUUCAAUGCCUCCUCACUUGAAAAACCAGCCAUUUAAAUUUUUCAUGCUACUUCCUCUUUGAGAGUUAAUAGUUAAAUGAAAUGUGCAAAUGGCUUUAAAUAGCAUUGUGAUAAGUAAUGGUAGGAAUAGUUAAAGUAUAAUCAAAAUAAAUAAAUUUAAAAAGCCCAAUAUUUUGAUAUAAGGCUUAUUGUAAGAUUAUGUGUUUGAAAUGAUGAAUAAUUCCACAUAUUUCAGCUUGUCUGUAAAUAUGUGUUGUUAUCUAAGCCCCCCUUUACUUCUAUGGGUAAUAUUUUAUUGAAGUAGAUGAGAGUUAUUGUGUCAUUUGAUGAUUAUGUUGUUUAAUCUAAGGCAGAUCAUGUUGUUAAUUUAGGCAUCAAUGCCAGUUAUGUUUAAUUCGGAAUUGUGUUCUGGAGAGACAUCAUUCUAAAUUUACUGCACCAUCCCUUCCCCAACCUCCGGUCAGCUCAGUAUAUUCCAUUACGCUACAACUCCAAUAUCAUUAUUGUCCCGGAGAGUUGACACUGUAAGAAGUUUGUCCCUUCUCUUUUCCUAUUCUGCAGCAUUCGAGAAGAUUUUUCGUUUCAGAUAUCGCUUGCUGUCGGCAUACUUAGUGGUUCGGGACGAAAUCGUCACCUUCAAAUUGGAUGUUAUAUUGUGAUGUUGACAGUUGAUAUGUGGAUUUUAAUUGAUGAAUUUUUAUUUGAUAUUGACAAUUUCAAUAAGGUUACAAGUUAAAUACAGUAUUGAAGACAAUGUAUGUUGAUUGUGUCGGUAGCUUGAUUGUGAUUAUUACCCAGCAGGCUACUUGCCCAUUCGGACGACACACACAUGUUGCUGUUGGGGAUGAGUCCUGUUGAUCGGUGGCCCCACCGUUGUUGGUUGUAAAUGUUGUUUCUGAUCACUGUGGUCAUUAUCUGCCAAACAAUAAAUUGUUAAACGCU